UGCCCAGCAACUCCUAUCCCUACCUCCUCGCGGUACUGGCCGGGGUACGAGUAACCUUAGGGAAGAUCUGGUAACCAACCCCGAUGAGAACUCUGGUCGUAUGCUGACAGAGAAGG
rnacentral:ribozyme from 1 species